AGUCUCCUCUGUGGACUACAUCGCUAAGGAAUCUGCUCCCUGCUGUGAAGGAAGACAGUCUAGAAAGCAGCUAACUCCCACCCGGACAUGAACAUCCCAAAAGUUAAAAAUGCAUGUCUGCAUACUUUUAGCAAGACUCUAUUUACAUGUUAGUUUUAGUGGGAAAUGAACACUCUUAUGUUUAUGAAUGUGUCCGUGGGUGGGUGUGCUUAGCGCAUGUGUAGAGGUCGGGACAACUGUGGGGUCAGUUCUCUCCUUGCACCCUCACGUUCAUUCUGGGACUUGAACUAAUGUUGUCAGGCUUGCAUGGCAAGCACCUGUACCGGCCCAGCCGUCCUGCUGGCCCUCAGAAGUGUGUACCCUUCUGAUCUAGGUCACCUGCUUAUUGAACAGCCCAUCAGUGAGAAAAGGAACUUGGCCAAGACUCCUGACACUUCUGCCCAUGGCUUCCUACGGCUUACAAUCGUGCACUCUGUUGAUGCCGACGUGAAUAGUGUGCUAAGGCCCGGCUCAUUUCCUCCACUCACAGUGUGAAUGAGGCACCAAGCCCUCUCUCCCUUUCGGAAACACCAGUUUGUCAUCUGUGGGAUGGGCUGCCCUUGGUGACCAGCCCGAGGACCUAUACUGAGCUUUCUUUACCCCGGUUCCUGAACAUGAGUGUUGGAGCCUCGAACAAGAUCUUCCCCCAGGGAGAUGCUGAGAUCAACUCUGCUGCUGGAGGGAAAGGCCGCCCUGGAGGGGAAGGCUGUGGCCCCUUCUGCUGCUCUCAUCGUGGGGCCUGCCUCUCGGCCUUCCUGCUGCUAUUGACGGCCAUGCUUGCUGCCUUGCUCGUUGUGGCCACCAUCCUUGGACGUCCACCCCACGGACCAGAGACCCACUCCUGUGUGACGUUGACCAACAGGACGGGCUUCUUAUGCCAUGACCGAAGGCAUUGCAUCCCAGCCCACGGGGUGUGUGAUGGUGUUCGCACCUGUCCCCACGGUGAGGAUGAGGAUGAAAGCUUGUGCCGAGAUGUGCCCCGGAGCCUCCCCAGCUUCCUCCUGGCCCACUGCGGAGACUCAGCCUCCUGGAUCUACUCGGACCAGAGAUGUGAUGGUGUUAACAACUGUGGGGACUGCUCAGACGAACUGAGCCCAGUAACCACGUGUCCGCCUUGUGGCCCCGGCUGGUGGCGCUGCACUCCGACCGUCUUCAAGUACUGCAGCUGUAUCCCCAGGGUUCUGUGCCGGGACCAGGUGCAGCACUGCUCUGAUUGGUCAGACGAGUACACCUGUUCUGGUCCCUGAGAGAGCCUCCCUCUGCAGCGUGGAAGCUGGCACCAGGACCCUUUCAUCAGAGCAUCAAACCCUAGAUCACAAGGGCGGGAAGGAGCCUUUGACGUCAUCCAGCGACAUCUCCCCAUUGUCUCUAAACAGGAAUUAGCUUUCUCGUUUCUAGUGUCUCAGCCUCUACUUGAGCACCUCCGCUAACAAGGAGUUCACUACCGUGUUAGUCAGCUUCUAACAAUGAGAUGACCAGAGAAACCUGGUGUGAGGCUGCCGAGCUUGGAGGGAGCCUGAAGAUCACCAAAUCCCACCCCUAGCUGAGGACUGAAUUGCCUGCCUACCAGCCCUGCCAAAGAGCCUCCCAGCCUUCGGCACUUCUAAACACGAGGAGCUGGCUUCCUCUGACAGCUGUAACUCUGGGACACUGAUUCUACUCAGUUUUCAGUGAUUAGGUCCAGAUCCAGAAAACGCAUCUGCUCCCUCUGUUCCUGGAGAGCAUUCCUCUGCAAACUGGGGACCGUCUCUCCAGAGACAUUUCAAGCUGCAUGGUCCCAAAGCGUUAAACAAGCCUGGGAGCAGAGCUGGACACGGUGCCCUUCUUUCAUCUUGGCUUCCUCUUGUUCUUGAUGAGCUAUUGUCAAGCUGGCACGGCCACGGCCACAGCUAUCCUGAAAGAUGAGGAGGCCGAGAUUUACUGAGUAGCAGGAAAAUGGACGAGACUGGAUUCUCGGAUUCUCAGCCUAGUGCUGAUCUGCCUGGGCCCUGAAGGAUCAUCUUUGACACCUGGGAGAGAGGAAACCGACCGAAGCAGGAGCUGACCUCACUAGUGUUUGUCUGUUAUUGUGUCUAAGUGUGUGUGUGCAGGCAUGUGUAUGACGUGGUGUCCAUGUGGAGGUCAAAGAACGCCUCAGAGGAAUCAGUUCUAUCCUGUCACCUUGUGGGAUCCCGGGCUCAAACUCGGGUCUCAGUUCGGCACACAAGCAUCCCAGCCCAUCCUAGGAACUGCUGGAUAUAAUUUCUCUUUCCCAGGAGACAGAGUACAAGCAUAGCCAGGCCUUAACACCUGGUGGAUUAAGAAUUACCAACUUGAAGCCUGCAGUGGUGGCGCACGCCUUUAAUCCCAGCACUCGGGGAGGCAGAGGCAGGCGGAUCUCUGUGAGUUCGAGGCCAGCCUGGUCUAUAAGAGCUAGUUCCAGGACAG